GACGAACGCUGGCGGCGUGCUUAACACAUGCAAGUCGAACGAAGUGGCGAACGGGUGAGUAACGCGUAAUCAACCUGCCCUUCAGAGGGGGACAACAGUUGGAAACGACUGCUAAUACCGCAUACUGAAGGAGGGGAUGGCGUCUGAUUGGCUGGUUGGGGGGGUAACGGCCAACCAAGGUGAGAGUCAGUAGCCGGUCUGGAAGGAUGAACGGCCCCAUUGGGACUGGGACACGGCCCAGACUCCUACGGGAGGCAGCAGUGGGGAAUCUUCCGCAAUGGACGAAAGUCUGACGGAGCAACGCCGCGUGAGUGAUGACGGCCUUCGGGUUGUAAAGCUCUGUUAAUCGGGACGCGGUACCGGAAUAGAAAGCCACGGCUAACUACGUGCCAGCAGCCGCGGUAAUUC
rnacentral:rRNA from 1 species